rnacentral:rRNA from 1 species
GACGAACGCUGGCGGCGUGCUUAACACAUGCAAGUCGAACGGAAAGGCCCUGCUUUUGUCUGGUGCUCGAGUGGCGAACGGGUGAGUAACACGUGAGUAACCUGCCCUUGACUUUGGGAUAACUUCAGGAAACUGGGGCUAAUACCUGAUAGCAGCUCCUGCUGCAUGGUGGGGGUUGGACAGUUUCGGCGGUUGGAGAUGGACUCCCGGCUUAUCAGCUUGUUGGUGGGGUAGUGGCUUACCAAGGCUUUGACGGGUAGCCGGCCUGAGAGGGUGACCGGCCACAUUGGGACUGAGAUGCGGCCCAGACUCCAACGGGAGGCAGCAGUGGGGAAUAUUGCACAAUGGGCGGAAGCCUGAUGCAGAAACGCCGCGUGCGGGAUGACGGCCUUCGGGUUGUAAACCGCUUUAGCCUGUGACGAAGCGUGAGUGACGGUAAUGGGUAAAGAAGCACCGGCUAACUACGUG